rnacentral:lncRNA from 1 species
GAUAACUGAUAGUGUUUAUCAAAAAAAAAAAAUCUUAUCAUCCAUAACGUGUUACAUUCCAUUCACACGUCGCAUGCUCAAUAGAAGAUGUUGGAUGGCGAUGAUAUUAAGUUUUGUGACAAAGUCCAAUGGACUCUGUAUUAAUGGUAGUUAGUGAAGAAUUGCGUUUUUUUAUUAAAACAAGUAUCUUACGCUGACUAAUUGACUGAAAGGAAAAUCAAUCAAGGUUCUAUUUCGCUGAUUACAGUAUGUUUAAAAAUAUUUGUACUGUAUAUAUUUUUUAUAGAAAAAAAAGGAAACCAAGUAUAAAUACGUCCAAUAUUUAUGAUGAGAUGGGCUUAUCCUUUUCAAUGGGAGAAGCAAUGGUUCUUUGCGUGUCUACCGCAGAAACAACUCCUCGUCGAUAUCUCUCCAUUCAUACAUUACGUGUCGCCCUGUCCUUUUGUAAAAUUCUCUCAAUAGUCUGCAAAAUAAAAUUUC